GACGAACGUUGGCGGCGUGCUUAAUACAUGCAAGUCAACUGAAGCAGUGGUAGCAAUAUCGCUGUGGAGGUGGCGCACGGGUGAGUAACACGUAGGUAAUCUGCCUUCAGGUCUGGCAUAACUCCGGGAAACCGGGGCUAAUAGCAGAUGAUGCAGCGGCUCGACAUCGAGACAGUUGUUAAAGCUAUGGCGCCUGAAGAUGAGCCUGCGUCUGAUUAGCUAGUUGGCGGGGUAACGGCCCACCAAGGCAACGAUCAGUAGCUGGUCUGAGAGGAUGAUCAGCCACACUGGAACUGAGACACGGUCCAGACUCCUACGGGAGGCAGCAGUAAGGAAUACUGCUCAAUGGGAGAAAUCCUGAAGCAGCAACGCCGCGUGAGGGACGAAGGGCUUUUGCUUGUAAACCUCUGUAGUGAGAGAAAAAAAUCCCAAUCUUUGGGACAUGAUGGUAUCUCAAAAGUAAGCCCCGGCUAACUACGUG
rnacentral:rRNA from 1 species